AAUCAACGCUGGCGGCGUGCCUCAGACAUGCAAGUCGAACGCGAAAGUUCCCUUCGGGGAAUAAGUAGAGUGGCGCACGGGUGAGUAACACGUAGGUAAUCUACCUUCGGGUGGGGAAUAACCCAGGGAAACUUGGGCUAACACCGCAUGAUGCAGCGGCACCACAUGGUGACAGUCGUUAAAGCGGGGGGAUUUUCGGACCUCGCGCCUGAAGAGGAGCCUGCGGCGGAUUAGCUAGNGGUGAGGUAACGGCUCACCAAGGUCACGAUCCGUAGCCGGCCUGAGAGGGCGGUCGGCCACACUGACACUGACAUACGGGUCAGACUCCCACGGGAGGCAGCAGUCGGGAAUUUUGGGCAAUGGGCGAAAGCCUGACCCAGCAACGCCGCGUGAAGGAUGAAAUCCCUCGGGAUGUAAACUUCGCAAGAAUGGGAAGAAUGAACGAGCGCUAAUACCGUUCGUGAUGACGGUACCAUUUGCAAGCUCCGGCUAACUCCGUGCCAGCCGCCGC
rnacentral:rRNA from 1 species